CGAGGAAAUAGUUCUUCAACAAGAGGAGGAACAGACUCUUAUUAAAACCAUGCAUCUCAAAGGAUGAUCCCUUGUGCAUAUUGGACACACACACAAGGCAUGUAAAAUGAAUACAGGCGAAGACUCCGUUUCCCACGCCCAUCCUGCAGAUUCAUCCUCGUGUCUUCGUGAAGAGCUUUUGCUCCAUUUCUCUGACAGCGAGAGCAUGAACAUUUUGUCUUGGGUAUCUUCAUUGCACAGAAACGGAAUCCAUCAACUCCCCCUUCAGUGUGUUGACCAGAAGACUGGGCUCCCUUUCCAGCAGAGGCAGAACCAGCUCUACAGAACACCACGCACUCGCACUCUGCUUGGCUGGCUGGCAGGGCUCUCUAGCUGCAGCUCCCAUAGAAGAAGAGUGGACGUGGGAAGUUGAAUCUAGUGGCUUCCUGUACGAUGACACCCCAGUCCACAGGAGAGAAGCCAGAAGAAAUGUUACUGUCAGCAGAGACCAUAUGGAAAGAACAAAGCCGACAGAUUUGUCCUGCGAUUCCGUCACACGCCUCUCACGAUAUGUCUUAACGAAAGCCUUCAGCAGGAACAUGGCUUUGGACCUGCUGCCACUGCCGAGCUGUGAUCAGCUGCUCCCCUCCUCCUCCAGCAUUCAGAUUAACCCCUUGGAGCUCAUGCAGUUGCGAGUGAAGCCGUGGCUGCUUCACAGAGUGCUGGUCUUCCUGAAGAAUGGAAGAAUGCUGCCAGAAUCCCAGCAGGUGAAAGCUCUCUCCAUCCUGAAGAAACAGCUGCUUCAAAUCCAAGCCCGGGCCUCAAGGAAACCAGACUUCAAAACCAAGGGUUGGUUAUAAUAAUAUAUAUUUGUUUCCAUUUCCUUCCCAUGUGAAUUAUUUCUUUCUUAAUGUGUCAGUUGUUAUGGCAUUACAGCACCUUUCGGCACCAGGCUGGCUGUUCAGCACAUUUCCUUCUGUGAAUCUAUAGAAACAAGUGAAUUUUUCUUGGUAGACUGAUCUAAAUCUGAUUUUUCUGCUCCUUCCCUUUUCCACCAGAUAUUACAAAGUGUUGUGCAAGGGAAUGAUGAUUCUUUAAAUUAGCUAGACUCCCAAUCAUCAGUGUCUAGAAGAAGUGAACACAUAUACAUACAUAUACAGCACAUUUAAAAAAAAAAAUUGUAUAGUUGAACCUUUUUUCACACAAAAUAUAUUUGCUCCUCGAUAGGAAUGGAAUACCAGCAUAAAAUAAACAUGAGGGUUUUGCAGACCCUUUCUGUAACAAACAGAAACGGGAAAUCUAGCUGCUUUAGGUUGCCAAAGCAAGCACAAUCUAAUUUUUUAUAUUCCAGUAGAAACACUGCAGAUUCCAGCACUUUGCACGGUAUAAAAUGAGCCUUCAUUUUUCAGCUGCAUGCUCUUGUUUAUUAUUGGAUCUGCCUCCACCUUUGAAACCAGGAUCUUCUACAGUAGAUGUUGGUCCUUGGUUCUAACUUCUUGGCCACACCAGCUCAAUUUGGCACAUUCUGAAUUCUCAUAUUUUGUAGAUCAGCCUGUUGAACUAUGCAGCCCUAAUAAGUAUGUUGUUGACAGCACUUUCUGUUGUGCUGUUGCUUAUUCUCCUGAGUUGAUGUUGGAAGCAGUGAUGUGGCUUUGUGGUGUUUGCUGUGCCUGAAGGGCAGCUCCCACACUACUCAUUUCUUGUCAGCAAACUAAUUAAUGUUGAAGGUUGCUGAUGGGUUGAAUGCUAAAGAUUGGCAGAAAUACAAAUCAAAAUUAAUGUAAGGCGUAACUUACUGGAGAAGAUGCAUUCUGGGAAUUUCUCAGUAUUUGAAAGGUCUUGAGAAGCAUUAUAUCUGUCCUCCUCCACAAAGGUGCCACAACCUGUUGUAAAGAUCCAACAAAUGCAAACUUUGCGAGAAUAGAGAUGUGAGAAGUUUUUAUAUUGAAUGUGAAUAAAGAAUGAAAGGAUGAUAUAUAGCUGUGACAGAAUUGGGUUCAUUUCCUGAUAAUAUUGUAGUGCUGACCAUGAAUCUGGCCCUUAUCACAGUCAAGGCACGUCUGUCUGACAGUUGACCAUGAGCCUGGGGAAAUGAAGACAUUGGAAAACUGAAAGUGGACAAUGGACACCAAACAUGCCAAGAACUGUUGCUGUGCUUGAUAUGGAAUGCUUCAUUUGUAGGACUGUCAGCCCGAUCUGUAAUAAAAGGUUAGCACAUUACAGCUAUGAACAAAAGUUUUGCAUUACCUCGAAUUUUAGGAUUGAGACAUAAUAAUAAUAAAAAACUAUAAUUUAGA